CUGACAGGGAGCUAAGAUGGAGGUACCCAGUUACAGGACAGAGCAUAUAACAAUGGCUGACAGGGAGCUAAGAUGGAGGCGCCCAGUUACAGGACAGAGCGUAUAACAAUGGCUGACAGGGAGCUAAGAUGGAGACACCCAGUUACAGGACAGAGCGUAUAACAAUGGCUGACAGGGAGCCAGGGGCGUACUUAGAGCAUUUGGCACCCGGGGCGGAUCCUGUGCUUGACUAUAGUGUUUCUUUAAUGUGAGGUAAAUU